rnacentral:rRNA from 1 species
UAAUACAUGCAAGUCGAGCGAGCGGAACUAACAGAUUUUACUUCGGUAAUGACGUUAGGAAAGCGAGCGGCGGAUGGGUGAGUAACACGUGGGGAACCUGCCCCAUAGUCUGGGAUACCACUUGGAAACAGGUGCUAAUACCGGAUAGAAAGCAGAUCGCAUGAUCAGCUUUUAAAAGGCGGCGUAAAGCUGUCGCUAUGGGGGAUGGGCCCCGCGGUGCAUUAGCUAGUUGGUAAGGUAAAAGGCUUACCAAGGCGAUGAUGCAUAGCCGAGUUGAGAGACUGAUCGGCCACAUUGGGACUGAGACACGGCCCAAACUCCUACGGGAGGCAGCAGUAGGGAAUCUUCCACAAUGGACGCAAGUCUGAUGGAGCAACGCCGCGUGAGUGAAGAAGGUUUUCGGAUCGUAAAGCUCUGUUGUUGGUGAAGAAGGAUAGAGGUAGUAACUGGCCUUUAUUUGACGGUAAUCAACCAGAAAGUCACGGCUAACUACGUGCCAGCAGCCGCAGUAAAU